rnacentral:rRNA from 1 species
UACGUAGGGGGCAAGCGUUGUCCGGAUUUAUUGGGCGUAAAGAGCGUGUAGGCGCCAGGUAGGUCUGCUGUGAAACUCGAGGCUUAACCUCGAGCUGUCGGCGGAAACCAUCUGGCUAGAGUCCGGAAGAGGAGAAUGGAAUUCCCGGUGUAGCGGUGAAAUGCGCAGAUAUCGGGAAGAACACCCGUGGCGAAGGCGGUUCUCUGGGACGGUACUGACGCUGGA